rnacentral:lncRNA from 1 species
ACCGACGGCCGAGAUGCUCCCGCGCCGACCAAAGUCCUCCAGAUGCGCGACGCGUGGCGCCCGCCGGUUGGCUGAAGAUUCGGCGCGCUUCGUCCCGGGACGCCCGCACCGCCCGCAUUAAAUGCCGGAGCGGGCGCCAGCCAACCACCUUGACACGCGGCGCGCGGGGGUUGGCUCCGCAGUCGGCCGCCCACGCCGGUCCGCGUUCCCGAUGGGACGCCUCACCCGCGAUCGGCACCGAAUAUCCGAUCGACUGACGCCGUAUCGUCCGGCACCCGAUCUUCUGACACCGACGUGAUGACUGACGACGACAAGAUGCGGCGUCUGACACCGGACGUCGAUGCGACUUCUGGCAUCGACUAGACGUUCGGAUCACUUGGGAUUCGUGAGGUAUCAGACCACGGAUCAGCCGGCGGUACGGUCGGAUCUGCACAUGCGACAAAUCCACUCCCAGUCGCCCGGUCUUGCUACUCGAAUGAAGGCAUCGGCCAGCUCUCCACCCGACUUAGGAGUGGAGGGGGGCAACUGUUGGGGGAUACCGACCGACCGACUAUCGGAGGGCCCGACCGGCUGGCGGCCCGACCGACCGACCGACUAUCGGAGGGCCCGACCGACUAACC